UCAAUAGGAGGUCAGUGAUAUUUUUCAAUGCAUUAAGGAGGUUGAGGCAGACAUUUUGAAGUUGCAAAGGAGAGAGGACCCGAAGGGUGGUCUCUAGAAGCAUGACUUGAGGGUUCUUCGGCACAGGCUUUCUACCCACCACUCUCUGCUGAGGUAGCAGGAGAUGAUGUGGAGGCAGAGAUCCAAGGUUUAGUGGCUU
rnacentral:lncRNA from 1 species